rnacentral:lncRNA from 1 species
GCGGGAUUUAUUAACGUCGAGGUUUUCGGAGCUUUCUGUCGGAUUUGGCCGCGGUCGAACUUCACCGUCUGUACCGAUUUCUGGAAGCUGCUCCAUCCAAACAGCUACGGAGUGGGGAAUUGUGUGCAAAUGUGGACUGUGUUUAUCACUGUGACUGGAUGAACCCCACUGUUUACUCAUCCAUCGAUUCAUCCCUCCAUCACUCCAUCAGUCGGAGGAAGGAUCUGAUGAGAGGACUGCAGAGAGAGGAGAGAACAGAAGACCUGCUAUGGCUGGCGGUAUGUUAAAAAUGAUAAGAAAACAGAAAAGUGCUCCAUUAUUCUUCUCUGUUGUUCCCUCUGUUGCACUUC